GAUGAACGCUGGCGGUGUGCCUAAUACAUGCAAGUCGAGCGAACAGACGAAGAGCUUACUCCUCUGACGUUAGCGGCGGACGGGUGAGUAACACGUGGAUAACCUACCUAUAAGACUGGGAUAACUUCGGGAAACCGGAGCUAAUACCGGAUAACAUGUUGAACCGCAUGGUUCAACAGUGAAAGACGGUCUUGCUGUCACUUAUAGAUGGAUCCGCGUCGCAUUAGCUAGUUGGUAAGGUAACGGCUUACCAAGGCAACGAUGCGUAGCCGACCUGAGAGGGUGAUCGGCCACACUGGAACUGAGACACGGUCCAGACUCCUACGGGAGGCAGCAGUAGGGAAUCUUCCGCAAUGGGCGAAAGCCUGACGGAGCAACGCCGCGUGAGUGAAGAAGGUCUUCGGAUCGUAAAACUCUGUUAUUAGGGAAGAACAAAUGUGUAAGUAACUAUGCACGUCUUGACGGUACCUAAUCAGAAAGCCACGGCUAACUACGUG
rnacentral:rRNA from 1 species